GCCAAACCCGGUGGCUGAGAGUCAGAGUGAAGACAGGUCCCCUCUUCGCUGAAGUGCCUGUGAGAACAGCCAGGAGGAGUCCUCAUUGGUCCCAUGGGCUCUGUCUUCCUCCCUGCCCCACCCAGAUAAUCGCGCUGCCCCUCAGCUCCCAGGAGGCAGCUCUGAUUCUCC